CCCUUGUCGCAAUAGUGCACGUGUAAAACGUGUUGACACGUCGCCAGACUGCAGUGAGGUAACUAUCUAUCCGGUCUCAGGUAGAACGUUGGUCAUUGUGUGCCGCUGGGCUGCGGCUCGGGAUAGCUUUCUUUUUGGUUCUACGUUGGAAGCGCACGGGAUAAGUGUCGGUUAGAGACAGUCCCUUGCCCAUCGAGGAAAAAUGGUGGUUUAGUUUACUGAUCAGAGAAACUACUUCAAACGUGCAUCAUGCAAAGUGAUGUCGUGGCGGCCCUCCGAAGUCCAGUUCCACACCAAAACGGAAUCGAUAAAUGUGCAACAAAGGGAUCGAUCAGAAAUAUUCAACAGAAACAGUGGGUGGCAUCAGCAGAUGAUAUUGGUGAGAUCUUUCCUUUCUACAUUGGAAUUCCUCUUUUGAAUAUUUUGUUUAUACAUCAAAUUUCUCAAUUUGAUAGCUUAGAUAAUAAACAUGUUCGUAUUAGUUUUUUAAUAAGUUUAUCAAGCUUACUGUACUAAUUAUCAGCAUGAGUAAAUAACGUUGAGAGCUAUUUAAAUUAA